GAUGAACGCUAGCUACAGGCUUAACACAUGCAAGUCGUGGGGCAGCGGAUGCUUAGCUUGCUAAGUAUGCCGGCGACCGGCGCACGGGUGAGUAACGCGUACCGAACCUGCCCAUCACACAGGGAUAGGCUUGCGAAAGCAAGAUUAAUAUCUGAUGGUCUCAGUUGUAUGCAUGUAUGAUUGAGUAAAGCCUUCGGGCGGUGAUGGAUGGCGGUGCGUCCCAUUAGGAAGUUGGCGGGGUAACGGCCCACCAAUCCUUCGAUGGGUAGGGGUUCUGAGAGGAAGGUCCCCCACAUUGGAACUGAGAUACGGUCCAAACUCCUACGGGAGGCAGCAGUGAGGAAUAUUGGUCAAUGGGCGAGAGCCUGAACCAGCCAAGUAGCGUGCGGGAUGAAGGCCCUUGUGGUCGUAAACCGCUUUUAUCAGUGAAUAAAGUGCACCACGUGUGGUGUCAUUGCAGGUAGCUGAAGAAAAAGGACCGGCUAAUUCCGUGCCAGCAGCCGCGGUAAUACGGAAGGUCCGGGCGUUAUCCGGAAUUAUUGGGUUUAAAGGGAGCGCAGGCGGGAGUAUAAGUCAGCUGUUAAAUAUCAGGGCCCAACUCUGUUAUGCAGUUGAAACUAUAUUUCUUGAGUACGCGCAGGGAUGGCGGAAUUCAGGGUGUAGCGGUGAAAUGCUUAGAUAUCCUGAAGAACUCCGAUCGCGAAGGCAGCCAUCCGGAGCGUAACUGACGCUGAGGCUCGAAGGUGCGGGUAUCGAACAGG
rnacentral:rRNA from 1 species